GCGGACGUGGCGAAAUCGGUAGACGCAGCGGACUUAAAAUCCGCUUCCCUCAGGGAGUGUGGGUUCAAGUCCCACCGUCCGCACCA
rnacentral:tRNA from 1 species